rnacentral:rRNA from 1 species
CCAAGGCUUGACAUACACCGGAAACUUCCAGAGAUGGUUGCCCCGCAAGGUCGGUGUACAGGUGGUGCAUGGUUGUCGUCAGCUCGUGUCGUGAGAUGUUGGGUUAAGUCCCGCAACGAGCGCAACCCUCGUCUUAUGUUGCCAGCACGUCAUGGUGGGGACUCAUAAGAGACUGCCGGGGUCAACUCGGAGGAAGGUGGGGAUGACGUCAAAUCAUCAUGCCCCUUAUGUCUUGGGCUUCACGCAUGCUACAAUGGCCGGUACAAAGGGCUGCGAUGUCGUAAGGCGGAGCGAAUCCCAAAAAGCCGGUCUCAGUUCGGAUUGAGGUCUGCAACUCGACCUCAUGAAGUCGGAGUCGCUAGUAAUCGCAGAUCAGCAACGCUGCGGUGAAUACGUUCCC